rnacentral:RNase_P_RNA from 1 species
UGGGUCGGUGAGGCGGUCGCGUCACCCAUGGCAUCCGCAAGGAUGCCUCGGGUGCCGAGGAACGUCCGGGCUCCACAGAGCAGGGCGGUGGGUAACACCCACCCGGGGCAACCCGCGAGACAGUGCCACAGAAAACAGACCGCCGCAGGGCUCGCGCCGUGCAGUAAGGGUGAAACGGUGGUGUAAGAGACCACCAGGGAGCAGGGUGACCUGCUUCGCUCGGUAAACCUCGCCCGGAGCAAGGUCAGACAGGGAAUGCUUGAGACGGCUCGUCGAGUUCCCGGGUAGACCGCUAGAGGGCUGCGGCAACGUAGUCCCGAGAUAGAUGACCGUCACGGAAGGCGUGCUCGCACGCAUCCGGACAGAACCCGGCGUACGGCCGGCCCAUUCC